UGAGGAAUAUUGGGCAAUGCCCGCAAGGGUGACCCAGCAACGCCGCGUGGAGGAUGAAUGUCGUAAGAUUGUAAACUCCUGUUAGAGGGGAAGAAUAGUACCGGUUGGACCGGUAUAUGACUGUACCCUCAGAGAGAGCCCCGGCUAACUACGUGCCAGCAGCCGCGGUAAUACGUAGGGGGCAAGCGUUGUCCGGAUUUACUGGGUGUAAAGGGCGCGCAGGCGGAAUGGAAAGUCAGUGGUGAAAUCCUACAGCUUAACUGUAGAACUGCCUUUGAUACUUUUAUUCUUGAGUUCGGGAGAGAGAGACGGAAUUCCAGGUGUAGUGGUGAAAUACGUAGAUAUCUGGAAGAACACCAGUUGCGAAGGCGGUCUCUUGGUCCGACACUGACGCUGAGGCGCGAAAGCGUGGGGAGCAAACA
rnacentral:rRNA from 1 species